UACGAAGGGGGCUAGCGUUGUUCGGAAUUACUGGGCGUAAAGCGCACGUAGGCGGAUCGAUCAGUCAGGGGUGAAAUCCCAGGGCUCAACCCUGGAACUGCCUUUGAUACUGUCGAUCUGGAGUAUGGAAGAGGUGAGUGGAAUUCCGAGUGUAGAGGUGAAAUUCGUAGAUAUUCGGAGGAACACCAGAAGCGAAGGCGGCUCACUGGCCCGAUACUGACGCUGAGGCGCGAAAGCGUGGGGAGCAAACAGG
rnacentral:rRNA from 1 species